rnacentral:rRNA from 1 species
AGUGAACGCUGGCGGUAGGCCUAACACAUGCAAGUCGAACGGCAGCACAGUAAGAGCUUGCUCUUACGGGUGGCGAGUGGCGGACGGGUGAGGAAUACAGCGGAAUCUACUUUUUCGUGGGGGAUAACGUAGGGAAACUUACGCUAAUACCGCAUACGACCUACGGGUGAAAGCAGGGGAUCUUCGGACCUUGCGCGAUUGAAUGCGCCGAUGUCGGAUUAGCUAGUUGGCGGGGUAAAGGCCCACCAAGGCGACGAUCCGUAGCUGGUCUGAGAGGAUGAUCAGCCACACUGGAACUGAGACACGGUCCAGACUCCUACGGGAGGCAGCAGUGGGGAAUAUUGGACAAUGGGCGCAAGCCUGAUCCAGCCAUACCGCGUGGGUGAAGAAGGCCUUCGGGUUGUAAAGCCCUUUUGUUGGGAAAGAAAAGCAGCAGGUUAAUACCCCGCUGUUCUGACGGUACCCAAAGAAUAAGCACCGGCUAACUUCGUG